rnacentral:tRNA from 1 species
GGGGAUUUAGGUCAGUGGUUCUGCCACCUGCCUCUCAAGCAGAAGGUCCCAAGUUCGAUCCCUGGUACCCCCC